AGAGUUUGAUCAUGGCUCAGAUUGAACGCUGGCGGCAUGCCUUACACAUGCAAGUCGAACGGCAGCGCGGACUUCGGUCUGGCGGCGAGUGGCGAACGGGUGAGUAAUACAUCGGAACGUACCCUGUUGUGGGGGAUAACUAGUCGAAAGAUUAGCUAAUACCGCAUACGACCUGAGGGUGAAAUGGGGGACCGCAAGGCCUCACGCAGCAGGAGCGGCCGAUGUCUGAUUAGCUAGUUGGUGGGGUAAAGGCCCACCAAGGCGACGAUCAGUAGCUGGUCUGAGAGGACGAUCAGCCACACUGGGACUUGAGACACGGCCCAGACUCCUACGGGAGGCAGCAGUGGGGAAUUUUGGACAAUGGGGCAACCCUGAUCCAGCAAUGCCGCGUGUGUGAAGAAGGCCUUCGGGUUGUAAAGCACUUUUGUCCGGAAAGAAAUCGCGCUGGUUAAUACCUGGCGUGGAUGACGGUACCGGAAGAAUAAGCACCGGCUAACUACGUG
rnacentral:rRNA from 1 species